ACAAAGUGUUCGAUCCAAACUCCCCCAACACGAUUGGGCUGUAUGGUUUAAUAUCUCUUGUAUGCAGAUAUAUAUAAUAAAACGAGCAACCUAUCACAAACACUUGUGCGGUGUAGUGGCUAGUACAGCUCAGUGUGUUAUGAUGCAAAUGGCUAGGGUUCAAAUCCCCUAGAGCACACUAUUUUUUAGCUUUUUGCGGGAUUUCCAUGUCUCUCUGGGCUCGAUGUUGUUGGGCCGAGUGGAGAUUGAUGCCCCAACUAAAAUGAAAAAAAUAGUUGGGCUGAAUUUUUGCGGGAUUUCCAUGUCUCUGGGCUCGAUGUUGUUGGGCUGAGUGGAAAUUGAUGGCCCAACUAAAAUGAAAAAAAUAGUUGGGCUGAAAUAAACAUCUAAAAAAAUAAAAAAAUUCUGAUGUGCCAACA
rnacentral:lncRNA from 1 species